rnacentral:lncRNA from 1 species
UUUUCAAGAAAAAAAAUUGGCAAAAAAAACGGCAAACAAUACUGAAAAAAACAAAAAUACAAAAAAAAAAAGAUAAGAUUAUAAAUAUUUGAGAAAUAUAAGAAAAUGAUAUUUUAGUAAAACCAUAAAUUAGCAAAAAAUCGGUUCAAUCAAAAAUCCACAUAAAUUAGCAGGUAUUUCAUUGCUGCUGAAAUAGAAAUUUUAUUGAAAAAAGAGAAGUUCAAAACCCUUGAAAGCACAAGCGCAGACUAAGGGCCGAGCCUCCAAAAAGAGAGCUCAAACGAAAGAAAACGACAAAGCAACGAAAAAAACCAAAAACACCGAAACGGGAGGAGGCGGAAAGUCAACCUCAGAAGCUCCGGCCGAACCAUUGCCCCUAGGAAAGCCAGCCUCCAAAAACC